ACAUCACAUCAGGCUGUUAGUGAAGUUCAUAUCUCUUCAGUUUCAACAUAAACCAUGUUCUCUGUAGCUCUGCUGCUGCUGUUGGCAGCUAGAUGUGUGGAGUGUGAACAGUUGACACAGCCGGCCUCUGUGACUGUGCAGCCAGGUCAACGUCUGACCAUCACCUGUCAGGUCUCCUAUGCUCUUGCAGCUACUACACAGCUUGGAUCAGACAGCCUGCAGGGAAAGGACUGGAGUGGAUUGGAAUGAAAUAUACUGGAUGGUUCAUACUACAAAGAUUCACUGAAGAACAAGUUCAGUAUCGACUUAGACUCUUCCAGCAAAACAGUGACUCUAAACGGACAGAAUGUGCAGCCUGAAGACACUGCUGUGUAUUACUGUGCCAGAGACUCACAAUAACAGGAACCAUCAGUAGACCUGAACAAAAACCCCUCAGUGCCUGAACACUUGUUACAUGAAGCCACCAGAGGAGGAGCCCUCACACCACUAAUGGUUUCAACACCAGCUCACUGUUUAAAAACUUGAAGGUUACAAGCACUAA